AAACUUUCUACAACGGAUCUCUUGGUUCUGGCGUCGAUGAAGAACACAGCAAAAUGCUAUAAGUAAUGUGAAUUGCAGAAUUCAUUGAAUCAUCGAAUCUUUGAACGCACAUUGCGCCCGCCAGUAUUCUGGCGGGCAUGCCUGUUCUAGCGUCAUUU
rnacentral:rRNA from 1 species